rnacentral:rRNA from 1 species
UGAUAUGGAGCAAAACCCUAAAAAGACGGUCUCAGUUCGGAUUGAAGGCUGAAAUUCGCCUUCAUGAAGCUGGAAUUGCUAGUAAUGGCAGGUCAGCAUACUGCCGUGAAUACGUUCCCGGGCCUUGUACACACCGCCCGUCACACCAUGAGAGUUGGAAAUACCCGAAGCCUGUGAGCUAACAGUAAUGAGGCAGCAGUCGAAGGUAGAGCCAAUGAUUGGGGUGAAGUCGUAACAAGGUACC